GAAGAUUAGAAAAGCAAGAAGAAUUGGGGAGCCUAACCCGUGCGAUCUUAUGCUGUUUCCACCACCUCUCUACACCAACUCCGAAGGUGCACCCUUCAUCAGAACCCCCCUUCCCCCAGUCAUCAAAUAUCAUUAAAUACAUACAUGCGUAGUGGCCUGAUUUUAGAGAAGCAUAACUCCUUCCUUCGUAUCCAGCUUGCUGUCAAUCCUAAUCUAUUAGUCAAGACCGUCAAAAUAUUCACCAGAAGAACCAGACGUACUUUGAGAUCCUUGACCUUGUUGGUGAGCUCUUUUUUGCAAAAUUCUUGUUUGUUCAUUUUGAAAAAACUUACGUAGAGUUGGAUCCGAUAUGGAAUUCAAAUCCUUAAGUAAAAUUUUAUUUUCUUCUCUAUAUUCUGUUAAGGCCAAUUUUUUUGACUCGUUUUGAGCUCUUAGCAUUUGAAUUUCAAAAAUUUGUUGUCUAUCAUCGCUUUCCUUUCUGAAAAUUUCAGCAGGUUGCCGAUUUUCAUCUUUAAUCGUGUCAAUAACCUUUUGAUUUUCUUCAUCAUUUUUACUUUCUAAUUUUGCUUUUUUCACCUCAAUGGGUCGUUCAGUUGAAGCACCAACUACAUUUUCUUCAUUUAUAUUAAGACCAAAUGAAGACGAUCCCGGAGAUAUUGAAGUGGGAGACUUCGAUUGUGAUGAUGCAA
rnacentral:lncRNA from 1 species